rnacentral:lncRNA from 1 species
CUCGAUUCAUGUUCCAUAUAAUUAAAAAUGGUGGUUAUUAAUGAGAAUAAAAAUACUUAAUCAGAUAUUCCGUUAAUUAAAAAAAGUUAAUGCCUCUAAUGAAUGACAAAAUGCAUCUUUGAUUCAUACCCGACAUAUAUGUUGCAUACGAGCCACAGAUGAGUUCAAAUCCAUACAAGAGAGAAUGGUGGAUUUCUGAAAGCGAAAUGUUGUUCAAAUCCUUAAAAUGCCACGAUGUCAUCACUAUCACUUCUAAUUCGCACAAAUGUGGUAACUUUGAGAAUUUCAUGUGGCCGACCUUGAUAUAAGCAUAUCUGGGAUUGGAUGAGUUAGAGGCACAAUGAGUAGUGAUAUCAGUAAAAAGGGAAGAAUUGGUCAAGGGAUUUGGGCAGCUUAUAAAAUUAAUAGGCAAGGGUUUAUCAUCAUAUGGAUAACUAGAAUAACUCGGAAUUUCGUAAUUAGGAAUACGAUGAGGAUUUUCGUAGGUAAAAUUGUAAGCAUCUAUAGAAAGGGUGGGAAAAGAGCAGAGGUCGUCAUUGUUUAUGGAAGCAUCGGCCAGCCUGAUGGUGGAGUUGUCGUAGUUGAUGGCUUUGACAUAGUAUUUGUGAGAGUUGAGAGAGAUGGAGGUCACAUUGUUUUCGCAGGCUAACUCAAAUCUGCCAUCACCGCACUUCUUUGGAUCGCCCUUGAGGCGGAAAGGGGAGCUGAUGUGGCGAAUAAUGCCGCAGGCAGAUGGGGUGCAGUUUGCUUCACCGGUUUGAAACAAAUUAUGGAGUAGUGAGAGAAUGAAGAGAGAUGAAGUAGUGAGGAAGAUGAGGUUUUGAGUGAUCAUGGUUUAGACGGCAACUGAUUUUGCAGUCUAUACUCUUUUUUGGAGGAGAUAUAUAUGUGAUGUGUGAGAGCCGAGUCUUCUAUACAGACAGGAUAAGUCAACUACCAAGCAGCUACAGUCAAACAACACUCAUGUUGAGUUAUUUUCGAAGGGACCACGCGCGAAGAAAUGGUGAAGCAGAUGGACCCAACGCAUUAACUCUCUGGCUCCCACACUGCUCCAUAUAUCGACUUUGAUUGCUUUGACAUAGUAUUUGUGAGAGUUGAUAUAGAUGGAAGUCACAUUGUUUUCGCAGGCUAACUCAAUCGCCCUUGAGACGGAAAGGGGAGCUGAUAUUGGGAAAGAUGCCACACGCAGAAGGACUGCAAUAAGAGUUGGCAUUACAAGUUUGAAACAAAUUAUGGAGUAGUAAGAGAAU